CACGGAGUUAGCCGAUCCUUAUUCGUAAAGUACAUACAAUAAGUUACACGUAACUCUUUUUAUUCCCUUACAAAGAAGUUUACAAUCCAUAGAACCUUCUUCCUUCACGCGACUUGGCUGGUUCAGGCUCUCGCCCAUUGACCAAUAUUCCUCACUGCUGCCUCCCGUAGGAGUCUGGUCCGUGUCUCAGUACCAGUGUGGGGGACCUUCCUCUCAGAACCCCUAAACAUCGUUGACUUGGUGAGCCGUUACCUCACUAACUAUCUAAUGUUACGCAUGCCCAUCUGUAAGCUAUAAAUAUUUAACCGAUCAACCAUGCAGUUAAUCGGUAUUAUGCGGUGUUAGUCCGAAUUUCUCCGGGUUAUUCCCCUCUUACAGGUAGGUUGCAUACGUGUUACUCACCCGUGCGCCGGUCGCCACCAUCGUAUUGCUACUCAUGUGCUGCCCCUCGACUUGCAUGUGUUAGGCCUGUCGCUAGCGUUCAUCCUGAGCCAGGAUCAAACUAC
rnacentral:rRNA from 1 species